AUAGUUACCUGAUAGGAGAGAUACCCUAUCAGUUAGGUAAGGCGGCAUUCUCAGGCAAGGCCUACCCAUUGCACUUUCAGGAGGGAAGGGUGACCCCUGCUAUUUCCCCAAAUGUGGGAAAGUCGACUGUAAAUUUUGUAGGAUGCAGGAGACAAUUGACCGGC
rnacentral:snRNA from 1 species